rnacentral:rRNA from 1 species
UAGGGAAUCUUCCGCAAUGGGCGAAAGCCUGACGGAGCAACGCCGCNUGAGUGAUGAAGGUCUUCGGAUCGUAAAACUCUGUUAUUAGGGAAGAACAUAUGUGUAAGUAACUGUGCACAUCUUGACGGUACCUAAUCAGAAAGCCACGGCUAACUACGUGCCAGCAGCCGCGGUAAUACGUAGGUGGCAAGCGUUAUCCGGAAUUAUUGGGCGUAAAGCGCGCGUAGGCGGUUUUUUAAGUUUGAUGUGAAAGCCCACGGCUCAACCGUGGAGGGUCAUUGGAAACUGGAAAACUUGAGUGCAGAAGAGGAAAGUGGAAUUCCAUGUGUAGCGGUGAAAUGCGCAGAGAUAUGGAGGAACACCAGUGGCGAAGGCGACUUUCUGGUCUGUAACUGACGAUGAUGUGCGAAAGCGUGGGGAUCAAACAGGAUUAGAUACCCUGGUAGUCCACGCCGUAAACGAUGAGUGCUAAGUGUUAGGGGGUUUCCGCCCCCUAGUGCUGCAGCUAACGCAUUAAGCACUCCGCCUGGGGAGUACGACCGCAAGGUUG